GACCCCCGGCUCAAGACACGAGAUACCACACAAAUACAUAGUAAAGCACAGAAGCAGAUUACAUAACAUAAAUACGGCACCCAUAAGUAAUAUAAAAUAGAGGAAAGCAGAGGAAAGAACACAGAUUCGUAAUAAAACAUGGAACACGGAAGACGGAUUCAUAACAGGAAUAAAACCCCCACCAAGUAGUUUCCUACACUAGCGACCCA
rnacentral:lncRNA from 1 species